rnacentral:lncRNA from 1 species
UAUUAUAGAUAUGAUUGGAUUCUGAUUAUGGUUAUUGGCCAAUAGAAAAGAAGUCCAUGUUAAAGUAGGAUUCCUUAGGAGAUAACCUUGAUGGGAGGAACUCUCCUAAUAACUUAUCCUAGACCCUCUGCUCUCACCUAUAAAUAGACAGGACCUCUAGGGGCUAAGGGGGUAUCUGAUAGAUAGGACCUCUAGGGGUU